UCCAAAGCUUCGACUCGUAUCCUAGUAGUAGUAGUAUUUGACUGACUCAAACAAUUCAGUGUUUGAUGAUGAGAGAGGCCGUGGAUGGGGUGAGUGGCUACACUGUGGGACUUCACUAUACACAAGUGUGCAUUCAACUAGCUUGCAUCGUGAGCCGAAUAUGUUAGACAAAAAUCUCCUCUCCUCCUCUUUCUACUGCUACUACUAUUACUAGUACAGUAGUACUGGUAUUCUCUCACUAUAUGAUGCGAUCGCUGUUGUCCGGUCGUCACUUUCACGCGGACUUCCAUACUUCAUUUACAUCAACCAAUUCAAUACCACUCCCCCCCCCCCCAAAUAUCUCUUCUUGUCUUCUUUCUAUCCGUCUUAUAUCGCUUCUUCUUCAAUUUUCAUCUAUUUUGCCAGAGUCCCACCUCCAGUACCAUCUCUGGAUUCAAUCUCUUGCUGAGGGAUUAGCUCUCUCUCUCUCUGCUUCGAGAUUACAAUUUUAUAUGAUGCCUAAAGCUUCUGCCUUGGGGCUUUGGACGCGGAACAAAAUUUGACCUUUUUUGUCACAGUUUUAGUGGUGCUCCUCUCCUUUCUUGCUUUUUUCGCCACUUCCCAAGCCCAAAAGGCCAACACCUCACAUAAACCGUAAUUCGUAAACGUUCAAUCAACUUCAAUCCUACCACACAUAGACCAAAUCCCAAUCCUUUUCCCUUCUUUUCAGGCAACCCAAAAAAAAAACAAAGGAGAACCCAGUUCACAAAAUCAACCAAGAACCACACUUUGAUCCCAAAAUUCGACCUCUUUGUCCGCUUGCUGUUAUAAAGAUCUAAUCUUUGAUCUCUGUAAUCAAGGUUUUCUCGAUUGUGGUCAGCUUCUCAAACUUUAAAAUUAGCUCAGAGUUGAACAGUUUUCAUACUAAGAUUUAUUAUUUCCAAGCAGAAAAUGCAAGACCCGUCGAUAUAUUCACAAAUGAAACCGCAAUUUCCAGAGCAAGAACACCUGAAAUGCCCGAGAUGUGACUCUGCGAACACAAAAUUCUGCUAUUACAACAACUACAAUCUCUCUCAGCCGCGCCACUUUUGCAAGAACUGCAGAAGAUAUUGGACUAAAGGCGGUGCUCUCAGAAACAUCCCUGUCGGUGGUGGCUCCCGGAAGAACACUAAACGCAGCUCAUCAACUACCAAACGCUCUUCCUCAGCCACCUCGGCUGCCCCGUCUACCUCCCCUUCCUCAGCCGCUGCAGUCUCGUCAUCAUCACCACCUCCUUCUACCACUCCUCAGACACUGCCAAAAACAGAGCCUUAUGGGCUUGCUCCGCAGGCACUUCAACCCGGUUUUGAUCAGGACCGCAGGAUGAUUCUUGAUGUGGGUGGGAAUGGGAGCUUUAGCUCCCUCUUGUCUUCAAAUGGGGGGCAAUUUGGGAAUUUUCUGGAGGGGUUGAAUCCAAAUGCAUCAAAUUUGCAGCUCUGUGGGUUUGGUGAUCAUGGCCCGAAUCAAGGUCCGGGUCCGGGUCACCAUCAUGGUGAUCCACAUGCGGGUUUGCAAAAUGGGAGUAAUUCUGAGGAGGGGUUUUUAAGUAAUCAGGGUAAUGGAGACUCUAGCUGCUGGAAUGGGAGCAAUGGUUGGCCUGAUCUUGCCAUUUACACUCCAGGUUCCAAUUUUCAGUAAAACACUAAAAGUGCCCCACAAAAAGGAGGAAAUUAAUUGUUGAGAGAUAGAGGGCUCCGAUCGAAUCUCUGACCAAUUAAAGCACUAAAAGGCGAGAUGAGUUGUGACAUUUUCAAGCGCGAAUUGGAGGAAGAGUGAUGAAACAAAUUUACCCAAUAAGAAUGAUGGAUUGCCGGCACGAUAUACUCCUAUUCAUUAUUCUUAGGCUCAACGUUUUACCUGUUUGCUUAGGCCAUCAGAGCAUUUUACGAGCUACGGUAGCCAGUGAUGAUGGCUUAACAUCAUUGUGCUACACCUUGCUUUAUGACUCAUAAUUAGGUGGGUUUUUUUUUUUUUUUUUUAUUUCGGAUUUGUUUGGUAACAAGAGGAUAAGAAUGAAGGCUUUGUAUUUAAUUUUUGGACCUAAUGAAUCCUUUGCUG